UGCAGAAUCCCGUGAACCAUCGAGUCUUUGAACGCAAGUUGCGCCCGAAGCCAUUAGGUUGAGGGCACGUCUGCCUGGGCGUCACAU
rnacentral:rRNA from 1 species